AGUACAAUUGCUGGAUCAUAUGGUAAGAGCAUAUUUAGCUUUGUAAGAAAUUGCCAAAAUGUCUUCCAAAGUGGCUGUACCGUUUUGCAUUCCCACCAGCAAU
rnacentral:pre_miRNA from 1 species